CCUUUUUCUUGGUCUGCCUUGGAGAUGACAUCCUAAGUAGUUCUAAGUAGUAUCUUUGUGGUUGUUCCACAUUAGUUAAGAAUCAGCAGAAGGCCAGGUAGGUUACCUCCUGACCUUUUGUGUUAUCUCUCUUCCCUCAGACCCAAUCCUCGGACUGCAAGAGGCUACCAGCUGCAAUCUCCCCACCCCACCCCCCAUAUCUCCUAAGGAUCCCACAGACCACCCCCUCCUGGACUCCCUUACCCUACUCAUCAUUGUGUCCCAGCUCCCAACUUGGGUGAAGUUGUGCUCAACCACAGGACAUACCUGCCAGAAGACCAGGUGGGUCGCCCCCGUUGAUACCCUGCUGGCCGGAGCAUACAACCAGGAAGCAGAACUCUUUAAGAUUCAUGCUACAAUCCAAGGCUCAAGUUUCUGAAUACUCACAGAAUUUCCCAACAGGGGGAAAAGAACAGUACCCAUUGCUCCCAGUGAGGCCACCAGAAAUAGAUGAGGAGGAGGUACUAUUGCAACUCUAGCUGACCCAUCACAUAGCUUCAUCUUUCAGAGAAGAGAAAGAUACAAUGAAGAGCUGGGAUGUUUUAUUACUGUCCUAGAGGCUGGAACAUUUUAUUCUAUUACUCUUAAAGAUGUCUGAAGUGCAUCAGUGCUGAUGAAAGGCACACCAAGUCUUCAGUGACCUAAGGAGGGUUUCUGAAAACCCAAGGGGAAAAGAAAAUCUGUCCUCUUUCCCUGCCAAGCAGACAGGGACAUGAAGAAUCCUCCAUUGAUGGCUCCUUGUCCUAAGAUGACAAUGAACAGCUGUUGCUGCUAUCAAGUGCUUUGGAGGUGCUCCUCAGGGCAAUAAUCAAGGCCUAGAAGUUCCGAUUUUUACAUUGUUUCAUCAGAAGCAGCUGGCUUCAGACCCAAAGGAACAAACAGAAACCUUGAUAACUGCCUGGGUGUUGAUAUGUGGGUUAUUGAAAUGGCUCAUUAUUACCACGACACAAAAAAGAAUCCUCAAUGCCAAUCCCCAAAUUCCUCAUUCCAGUAAUUCAGAUAUAGGCUCUGCAAGACUAGAGAUGCAGUAUUUAAGUUCCUUUCUUUCAAUAAAUGUGCUCUGGAAGACAUUUAUAAAUAAAUUGUGCUUAUUUACUUAGAUUUCCCUGAGAACUUGAUUCUUGAGCACUAACAGUUUAGAGGAACUUGGGUUGAUACUGUUGGUCAUUGGUAAUGCUAGGGAGUAGUGGCUACAAUGAUGAUAUGUGUUUCUCUUGAAGCUAUCAAUUUUGCAAAGAAGGUAUUUACACAACUCAUAAAAUGGAAUAAAUAACAAACUGAGAAAUGAGAAGGUACUUAUUCUUCCUUUAGGCAAAAUAGAUAGGGAUGUGGGAGAGUGGGAAUAAAAAUUGGGAGGUUACCCAUAGUGCGUUGUCUCCAAACCCUACCUAGCAGUAGUACAUGGACCUAGUAACCUGGCACCUCGUAAAUAGAUUUAACUUAGGCACACCAGGUUUCCCCUUGAGAAGUUUCCAUAUGUAUUUUUGCAUCAAUCCUUUAACUAAGGAUUUUUCACUCCCUUACAUUAAGUAUGAGUGCAGUUCUGUGAUUGACAACAAACUUCCUAGGUAGACAUUCUGCUUUGGGAAGGAGUACUGGGGAAGAAAUAUGCUUUCUGGCAUUUCAAGGAGGCUUCUCUGUGUGAGUUAUUGCUGAGGGCUCCACAGCCGCCGUGUUUGUUUACAUCAUCCCUGCACUACAGUGCCGAAUUCAUUGUUUGUAAAGCUCUUUGGGAUAAUUUGUAUAUGAAGGAUUCUAUAUAAAAAUCAGUAUUUAUUCCUUUUUGUAUUAUGCUUUUUCAGUCUGACACAUAAGGAUGCUUUUAUAUGCAGUAAGUAAGAAGUUAAGCACUCAACUCCUAUUAACAGCACUAGGAACUGGCUUCCAGCGUUCUAUCUGGGGCAAUGGAAAAGGACUCACAGGUGUGCAGGUAAAUUGAAACAAAGACAGGGGAGAGCUCAAGUACUUAUUCAGCUGCUGUAAGUUUUAUGUGCAACCAAGCUAUAAAGAAUGUGGGGGAAUUUUACUGAUUGUUGAAGUUUGAAUUACUCUGGCUUAUUUGUGGGUGUUAUUAUAUACAGAAUGUGUGUGUGUACAAAUAAUAAAACGUCCAUUAUCAGCAUCUUGUUAUAUGAUAAUUUCAAUUAAAUAGCAUAAUUUGAUUCAUUGAUGAAAUGAUACUAAUAAUAUCUACCAUAAACUUGAAAUACUGAACAAUCCUGUAAACCUUCAGAAUCUAAAGAAAGAUUAAACUGAGGCUUAUUGGGUUUUUGUAUUAUUUUUCUUUUUUAUUCUUAGAACAGGAAUGGUUGAACUAAUAGUUGUAGUGACCUCCCAAAUCACAAGUUUACAAACUAUGUUUUUAUUAGUUUAAAAAUUAGAAUACAGAGUAAUGGGUUUUGUGAUGGUAUUUUCUUACAUACUUAUUGUAUCCUCUUACCUCCCAUCUUUUCGCCAGUCCCCUGCCCCUUUGUUCUGGUCCCCAUCCUUAUUUUAUUGAUCAUCCUUCUCCCACGUCACCUGUGUUUUGUUACUCUCUUUUCUUUUUCCUUUUCUCCCUCCCAAGUCUUCACUUUCUCCCCACUAUUCUCAUGUUCUCCUUUCUAGUUUCACAAACUAUAUACAAACAUGAAAAUUUAAAUCUAGGAGUCUUAUCUAGAGGAAACAUGCAGUAUUUGAUUUUCUAAGUCUAGGAGAAUAAGCUUAAGAUAACAAUUUCCAGUCUAUCCAUUUUCUGCAAACAUCAUGAUGUCAUUAUUUUUGUUAUAACUGAGUACAAUUCUAUUAUGUAUAUAUACCACAUUUUUGUUAUCCAUUCUUCUGUGGAUUGACAUCUAGGCUGGUUCCAUUAUAAAUUAUGAAACAAAAAAAAUGAAUGUACAAAUAUAUCUGAUAAGACUUAGAGUCCUUUGGAUAGAUACUCAGGAGUGUUGUAGUUGUAUGAUAUGGUAGUUUAAUUUUUAUCUUAUUGAGAACCUUCCAUACCAAUUCUCAUGGUAACUGUAUAUGUUUACAUUCUUACCAACACUGAAUAAAGUCUCCUCUUACCAUG